UAUUGGACAAUGGGGGAAACCCUGAUCCAGCAAUGCCGCGUGAGUGAAGAAGGCCUUAGGGUUGUAAAGCUCUUUCGCCCGCGAAGAUAAUGACGGUAGCGGGAGAAGAAGCCCCGGCUAACUCCGUGCCAGCAGCCGCGGUAAUACGGAGGGGGCUAGCGUUGUUCGGAAUUACUGGGCGUAAAGCGUACGUAGGCGGAUGCGCAAGUUGGGGGUGAAAUCCCGGGGCUUAACCUCGGAAUUGCCCUCAAAACUGCACGUCUUGAGACCGAGAGAGGUAAGGGGAAUUCCUAGUGUAGAGGUGAAAUUCGUAGAUAUUAGGAAGAACACCAGUGGCGAAGGCGCCUUACUGGCUCGGUACUGACGCUGAGGUACGAAAGCGUGGGGAGCAAACA
rnacentral:rRNA from 1 species